rnacentral:rRNA from 1 species
AGAGUUUGAUCCUGGCUCAGAACGAACGCUGGCGGCGUGCCUAACACAUGCAAGUCGAACGGGAUUGAGGUGCUUGCACUUCAAUUUAGUGGCGCACGGGUGAGUAACGCGUAGAUAAUCUGCCUGACGAUCUGGGAUAACACUUCGAAAGAGGUGCUAAUACCGGAUAAGCCCACGGGGUCUUUGGAUUCUGCGGGAAA